UUGUUAUUAAAAAAGUCAGACAAUGCCGUGUUCAACCUAGCAACGCUAGACGUGUUCAGUUAACACUCGAGAGUGAACCCCCCAAGUUUAAUAGUGUACCAAAAAUGAUCCUUCCGCAGGUUCACCUACGGAAA
rnacentral:misc_RNA from 1 species